GAUGAAGAACGCAGCGAAAUGCGAUACGUAAUGUGAAUUGCAGAAUUCAGUGAAUCAUCGAAUCUUUGAACGCAUAUUGCGCUCUCUGGUAUUCCGGAGAGCAUGCUUGUUUGAGUAUCAGUAAACACCUCAACUCCCCUUUCUUUUUUUGAAAUGGGAGCUGGACUUGAGUGAUCCCAACGCUUUUCUCACCGAAAAGUGGCGGGUUACUUGAAAUGCAGGUGCAGCUGGACUUUUCUCUGAGAUAAAAGCAUAUCUAUUUAGUCUGCCUAAAAAACAGAUUAUUACCUUUGCUGCAGCUAACAUAAAGGAGAUUAGUUCUUGUGCUGACUGAUGCAGGAUUCACAGAGACAGCUUCGGCUGGCCUUUGUAAACUCGAUCUCAAAUCAAGUAAGACUACCCGCUGAACUUAAGCAUAUCAAUAAGCGGAGGA
rnacentral:misc_RNA from 1 species